rnacentral:rRNA from 1 species
UUAAGCGACUAAGCGUACACGGUGGAUGCCCUGGCAGUCAGAGGCGAUGAAGGACGUGCUAAUCUGCGAUAAGCGUCGGUAAGGUGAUAUGAACCGUUAUAACCGGCGAUUUCCGAAUGGGGAAACCCAGUGUGAUUCGUCACACUAUCAUUAACUGAAUCCAUAGGUUAAUGAGGCGAACCGGGGGAACUGAAACAUCUAAGUACCCCGAGGAAAAGAAAUCAACCGAGAUUCCCCCAGUAGCGGCGAGCGAACGGGGAGCAGCCCAGAGCCUGAAUCAGUGUGUGUGUUAGUGGAAGCGUCUGGAAAGGCGCGCGAUACAGGGUGACAGCCCCGUACACAAAAAUGCACAUGCUGUGAGCUCGAUGAGUAGGGCGGGACACGUGGUAUCCUGUCUGAAUAUGGGGGGACCAUCCUCCAAGGCUAAAUACUCCUGACUGACCGAUAGUGAACCAGUACCGUGAGGGAAAGGCGAAAAGAACCCCGGCGAGGGGAGUGAAAAAGAACCUGAAACCGUGUACGUACAAGCAGUGGGAGCACGCUUAGGCGUGUGACUGCGUACCUUUUGUAUAAUGGGUCAGCGACUUAUAUUCUGUAGCAAGGUUAACCGAAUAGGGGAGCCGAAGGGAAACCGAGUCUUAACUGGGCGUUAAGUUGCAGGGUAUAGACCCGAAACCCGGUGAUCUAGCCAUGGGCAGGUUGAAGGUUGGGUAACACUAACUGGAGGACCGAACCGACUAAUGUUGAAAAAUUAGCGGAUGACUUGUGGCUGGGGGUGAAAGGCCAAUCAAACCGGGAGAUAGCUGGUUCUCCCCGAAAGCUAUUUAGGUAGCGCCUCGUGAAUUCAUCUCCGGGGGUAGAGCACUGUUUCGGCAAGGGGGUCAUCCCGACUUACCAACCCGAUGCAAACUGCGAAUACCGGAGAAUGUUAUCACGGGAGACACACGGCGGGUGCUAACGUCCGUCGUGAAGAGGGAAACAACCCAGACCGCCAGCUAAGGUCCCAAAGUCAUGGUUAAGUGGGAAACGAUGUGGGAAGGCCCAGACAGCCAGGAUGUUGGCUUAGAAGCAGCCAUCAUUUAAAGAAAGCGUAAUAGCUCACUGGUCGAGUCGGCCUGCGCGGAAGAUGUAACGGGGCUAAACCAUGCACCGAAGCUGCGGCAGCGACGCUUAUGCGUUGUUGGGUAGGGGAGCGUUCUGUAAGCCUGUGAAGGUGUGCUGUGAGGCAUGCUGGAGGUAUCAGAAGUGCGAAUGCUGACAUAAGUAACGAUAAAGCGGGUGAAAAGCCCGCUCGCCGGAAGACCAAGGGUUCCUGUCCAACGUUAAUCGGGGCAGGGUGAGUCGACCCCUAAGGCGAGGCCGAAAGGCGUAGUCGAUGGGAAACAGGUUAAUAUUCCUGUACUUGGUGUUACUGCGAAGGGGGGACGGAGAAGGCUAUGUUGGCCGGGCGACGGUUGUCCCGGUUUAAGCGUGUAGGCUGGUUUUCCAGGCAAAUCCGGAAAAUCAAGGCUGAGGCGUGAUGACGAGGCACUACGGUGCUGAAGCAACAAAUGCCCUGCUUCCAGGAAAAGCCUCUAAGCAUCAGGUAACAUCAAAUCGUACCCCAAACCGACACAGGUGGUCAGGUAGAGAAUACCAAGGCGCUUGAGAGAACUCGGGUGAAGGAACUAGGCAAAAUGGUGCCGUAACUUCGGGAGAAGGCACGCUGAUAUGUAGGUGAAGUCCCUCGCGGAUGGAGCUGAAAUCAGUCGAAGAUACCAGCUGGCUGCAACUGUUUAUUAAAAACACAGCACUGUGCAAACACGAAAGUGGACGUAUACGGUGUGACGCCUGCCCGGUGCCGGAAGGUUAAUUGAUGGGGUCAGCGCAAGCGAAGCUCUUGAUCGAAGCCCCGGUAAACGGCGGCCGUAACUAUAACGGUCCUAAGGUAGCGAAAUUCCUUGUCGGGUAAGUUCCGACCUGCACGAAUGGCGUAAUGAUGGCCAGGCUGUCUCCACCCGAGACUCAGUGAAAUUGAACUCGCUGUGAAGAUGCAGUGUACCCGCGGCAAGACGGAAAGACCCCGUGAACCUUUACUAUAGCUUGACACUGAACAUUGAGCCUUGAUGUGUAGGAUAGGUGGGAGGCUUAGAAGUGUGGACGCCAGUCUGCAUGGAGCCGACCUUGAAAUACCACCCUUUAAUGUUUGAUGUUCUAACGUUGACCCGUAAUCCGGGUUGCGGACAGUGUCUGGUGGGUAGUUUGACUGGGGCGGUCUCCUCCUAAAGAGUAACGGAGGAGCACGAAGGUUGGCUAAUCCUGGUCGGACAUCAGGAGGUUAGUGCAAUGGCAUAAGCCAGCUUGACUGCGAGCGUGACGGCGCGAGCAGGUGCGAAAGCAGGUCAUAGUGAUCCGGUGGUUCUGAAUGGAAGGGCCAUCGCUCAACGGAUAAAAGGUACUCCGGGGAUAACAGGCUGAUACCGCCCAAGAGUUCAUAUCGACGGCGGUGUUUGGCACCUCGAUGUCGGCUCAUCACAUCCUGGGGCUGAAGUAGGUCCCAAGGGUAUGGCUGUUCGCCAUUUAAAGUGGUACGCGAGCUGGGUUUAGAACGUCGUGAGACAGUUCGGUCCCUAUCUGCCGUGGGCGCUGGAGAACUGAGGGGGGCUGCUCCUAGUACGAGAGGACCGGAGUGGACGCAUCACUGGUGUUCGGGUUGUCAUGCCAAUGGCACUGCCCGGUAGCUAAAUGCGGAAGAGAUAAGUGCUGAAAGCAUCUAAGCACGAAACUUGCCCCGAGAUGAGUUCUCCCUGACCCUUUAAGGGUCCUGAAGGAACGUUGAAGACGACGACGUUGAUAGGCCGGGUGUGUAAGCGCAGCGAUGCGUUGAGCUAACCGGUACUAAUGAACCGUGAGGCUUAACCUU